ACCCGCCCCCGAGCAGACGAACAACAAAAAUGGAGUUGUGAAGUAGUAGCAACUUAGCUAUCUACAGACGGUACAUUUAGUUGAGUAUUUUACAAAUACGUUCACAGAAGUAGAUGUUUCUAUUUGUUUAGAGUACAGAGAUGCUGGUAAAUCACAUCCAUAUGUAGUUUAUGCUCUGUAUCAGUCGUAAAGAGCUGGCGAAGUGGUAAACAAACCGGUGUCUUGGCUACGACAAAGGCUUGCUAGCUAGCUAGCUGAAACGGUAGCAUUCACCAGGUUUCACUGUCAACAUAUUAGCUAAAUUAGUUAACAAACGAAGAUACUGAGACUCGGACAGAAAUGGACAAGGCAGAUUUCUUAAAGGGACUUCCAGUUUAUAAUAAAAGCAACUUCAGCAGGUUUCAUGCGGACUCUGUGUGCAAAGCAUCAAACCGUCGACCAUCUGUGUAUCUUCCAACCCGUGAAUAUCCAUCUGAGCAGAGUGAGUACAUUAGCUUUUUAAGUACGGUUAUAAAGUGAGGAAAACAGCAAUCUACAUUGUAUGAAAAUGCAGUAUU